rnacentral:rRNA from 1 species
GCAGCAGCCGCGGUAAUACGAAGGGUGCAAGCGUUAAUCGGAAUUACUGGGCGUAAAGCGUGCGUAGGCGGUGAGUUAAGUCUGCUGUGAAAUCCCCGGGCUCAACCUGGGAAUGGCAGUGGAUACUGGCUCGCUAGAGUGUGUCAGAGGAUGGUGGAAUUCCCGGUGUAGCGGUGAAAUGCGUAGAGAUCGGGAGGAACAUCAGUGGCGAAGGCGGCCAUCUGGGACAACACUGACGCUGAGGCACGAAAGCGUGGGGAGCAAACAGGAUUAGAUACCCCAGUAGUCCCUGUCUCUUAUAA